GGGCCAUAGCUCAGUGGUAGAGCAUCUGCUCUGCAUGCAGAACUCCCCAGGUUCAAUCCCCAGCAUCUCCA